GUGCUCACUUUGGCAGCACAUAUACUAAAAUUGGAACGAUGCAGAGAUUACAUGGCGCUUGCUCAAGGAUAACACGCAAAUUCAUGAAGCAUUCCAUUAUUUU